ensembl:rRNA 5S_rRNA 5S ribosomal RNA
UCCAGCAGCUACUGUAGCUCUCAGCACAUCUCAGAUGAUUGCUCACUGAAGCUAAGCAGGGCUGCGCCCGGUUAGUGCCUGGAUGGUAGACCACAAGAGAAAGCUAGGUUGCAGCUGGAA